CAACAUGUUUAGCCUAUUUUUUUUUCGAAGCCUUUUCUCAAAGUGUCUCUUUUCUAACAGGCUAGAAAUUAGAAAUUAAUAUAAAUUAAGAUUAUUAGAGCUUCCAAACUUCUUCCUUCAUCGAAGGUAGGCCUAAUGGUGUUCUCAUUCAAAAGUUUGAUAAGAAUACCGAGAAAAAUUCGACAUUCUAGGAUUACCUGGCAUAUUGUUUUCGUGCUGCACUUCGCGCAUCCGGCAUCCGGGGCCUGGUCAACUUCUUUACGCCAUCUUGCUGAACGGCGAUCAGCGAUCGCACUGAGUGAAAAGGGCUCCCGCGUUCUGACGAGCGCACAGGGGUACAAAAGUACCCUACUGUCAUUUUAACGUUUUCUUCUUAAUUUGCAAAAAUUUAAUUGAAUAUUCUGUGUAGAAUUAUCUUUAUUUUUUUUGUUAGUGGUCAAUAUGGCGAUUUGAAAAUGAUGUCUCAACGUCUUGGAAACACCAACUCUGCUUUGCAGACUGGCUUGGUCCUGGGCCUAGAACUUUAUUUUGCAGCUAACGUUAAUGCUAGAGGAAAGCAGUUAUACGAUGGAGAAAAAAACUCCUACUCGUCCGUUACCUGUGCAGUCUAAGACUAGCGCUACCCCUGAAAGAAAAUCUGACUACUCAAACAAGAACAAUGGAAGAAGAAGAUGGAAGGACAAUGUCAGCCCUGGAGGUCGCUCUUUGGAACCUGCACAAUUGCCCGUCAAACCCCCUCCUCAGAGAUGGAAUCGAGGAAAUGGUGACAAGAGGCCGCGACAGAGAGGCUAUUAUGGCGAUAGACAAAGAGAAGAGGUAGCAGAGGUUGAUGAUGCCCCAGAGGUAUACAGCACAAGUUCCCGCAAGGGAAAUGCCAACAACCUGUUGAGGUUUCACUAUGGCUCCCAUGAUGAAGGAAGUCGUUCUGCCGGCCGAUGGUCUGGGUAUCGGGGUGGUGGUGGUCAUGGCAGACAGAGAAAGACGGUGCGCUACAACAAGGAACAAUUCCUACAAGCAAGCUGCCAGUUUGUAGUGCAGGAUAAUGGAGAGUACUCCCAGCAAGCCGUUGACCCGGAUGCCCUGGUGAAGUGGGAUCUGGUGGAGCUGGUGCGCGUGUUCUCCACCGAGUCUGUUCUUUGUCCCAUCUGCAGGAGCGUGCCGUAUGCAGGACAAAUAACCAAGUGUGGACAUAUUUACUGCCUAGCUUGCAUGAUACGCUAUCUGGCGCUUGGGGAUAAAGACUACAGGAGGUGUCCUAUAUGCUAUGAUGCCGUGAAGACAGAAGAUCUAAGAAGUGUGCGAUGGGUCAAAGUGCCCGACUAUAAAGUUGGAGACACCAUUGAACUGAAGCUGAUGCGCAAGAGUAAAGGCAGUGUGUACGUCUGCCCGAAGAAGCAGUGGACAGACAGACAGGGCGUUCCACACAACCUGCUUGAUGGCGAGAACACCAAAUUUGCCAAGCUAUUAGUGGCAGGAAAAGAAGAGAUCCAGAGAGAAGUGAUUGAGGUAGAGAAAGCCGACCUGGCUGCUCAGAUGAAGGAUGCUCAUGUAACAGAGGAGCCUUUCAUAGCCAUGGCACAGGAAACAUUGAAGAACCGUGAAGAGAACCUUCAGGCUACCAGAAGUUUGGCAGAGGUCAAACCCAGUGCGGAAGCGGAGCAAGAAGAUGAGGCUGCAAAAGAAUCUGAGCUUGUGACUUUGUCUGAUGUAUUGUUGGAAGAAGCUGAGGAGAUUACGAAAUAUUCCGACGCCUUUGAGGAUAUGCUGGAGGACUCGAGCUUCCUCAACGUCUCUGCCUUAAGCCACCCAGAGGACACAGAGAUGGAAGGCAGCAUGGCAUCACUGGACAGGUCGGACGGUGCCAUCUUCUCCCUGGAAGGUUUGAAAGAGGGCAUAGAAACUGAGGACACCAAGUUUACCCCUGUGGCAGAGUCGUUGGCGUCGCUACCGGCCGCCGCAGCAGACGGAGAAACUAGUCAGAAAGGAGAUGACACUGGUGGAGCCCUUCCGGACUCUGCACCCACACUUGGGGCGGAAGUUUUGCCACCGCCGCUACCAAAAAUAGAUGCGACCAGCGCUCGCGAGAGGGGAGACAGCGAGGGUUCGCUCCCGUGUGGCUCGCCGGUGAACCCGUUCCCUCUCCUGGAGGACCACCUUGUGUCCCAGGUGGCUGUGUCGACAGACGAAGUCUUCGACAACCUGGAGCUUCCCCACGCCGAGGCGCCACCGCAGGCCAAGAGAGUGCAGCCCACCCGAACUAAGGACACCUACUAUUUCUACCAGGCCUCCAGUGGCCAGCACAUCUACAUGCACUCGCUGAAUGCUCGGUGCCUGCAGCAGGAGUACGGCAGUCUGGAGCACGGCCCAGAGACCAUAUCUGCCAGCAUUGUGGCCAUCAAGCGCAUGUUCAUGACUGAGGAUGUGCGGAAGCGGCUGCGUUAUUUGAACCACAUCCCACUGACCUGUGAGUUCCACGUGGUGGAGUUGAAUUUGAAACAACCACUGGUUAGCAAGGAGACUCUGAAGAUGUUUAGAGGGGAGAUUGAAGCUCUUCGCAAGGAUAGGCAAAAGAAAGCCAGAGAGGAGAAGAGAAGAGCCAAGGAGUUGGAGCUAGAGCACAAGAAAGCGCAUGGCAUUUACCCGGACGUGAAUCUGCGGCUGGACAGUCAGCGCCAGUUCCCGUCCCACCUAAGCACCUCGACAGCAAAACCGGGUUCUCAGGGUGAGGAAGACACAACAGAGUCGACCUCUGACACCUUUGAACGCUCGUCAAGCUCUCAGUGGACCGCGGAGGAGGCAUCAUCGUCUUCUACCUAUGAUGGCCAAGAAGCUGCUGCUGCUGGUUUGGGUCCACAGUCUGGAUCACCGAUGAGCCCUAGGAAUUCUGCAUGGGACUCCAAGUCCUUUGCUAAGAUUGCCGGGGCAGGGGCGUGGCCGACUGUACAGCGCUGGCGCUCUGUCUCCGAGUCACAGCCUACGCCCGUCAUCGCCAAGUCUCCCAAUGCGGACGACAGUGAUGGUGAAGGUCACCCCGCACCAAGCUACAAUGCUUCCAUGGCCGCUGCUUUUGACAGCCUGGACACAAAGCUUCAGGCAGCAGCCACAGAGCCAGAAGUGAUGGCGUCGCCCGGCCCAGCCGGAAGCGGGAAGAAGAAAAAGAAAAAAGAAAAGCAAGUCCUGUUCUCGACCUCUAUGGCUCGGAAGAAUUAGCCUACUUGGGUUUUUUCCCUCUUUUGGCUGAAUUUUUAAUCCCUAUUGUGAAUUUGCAAGACUUUUUACAUUUGCAUUUUUAUUUUAUUAAUCUUGGAACCUUCCAUUCAUCUUUUAAAUGUAAAAAAAAGUUUGCAUUGACAAAUUUCAGUGGUUGUAAUUGUAUAGAAUACCAGUUACUCCUUCUGUUUGGUAAUUAUUUCUUCUGUUUGAGUUGUCAGGAUUGGUUGGCUACUGGCAUGCCUGGGCUUGGGCUUUUCUGUGUCAGGGGCCGACCUCCCCAGUUCGCUCGGAGUUUAGUGUCCAUCAGUUCCAUCAACGUUUGCGACCUCAGAUCUUUGAUUCCUGUGAUGCGAUAGGGAAAUUGGCCUGCUCACUAUGCUUGUAAAGGAUUUGAAUUCAAUUUCUCUGUUCUGUUCCUGGGAUAAUUUUGUCAAGUAUGUCCUUGUUUUUAGGGGGUUUUUUUCCCUGAGAUGCAGCAUCUUUUCCCAGCAACCCCAGCCAGCCGUGACAGGCAAGGGAAAGCAGCCUGCCUCCUAAAUGGUCUGAAUUGUUUGUUGGGGGUGUGUGUGUGGGGUGGUGUUGAAUGAUUGCUGGAACAAAUUUCAGCAGCCCCGGUGACCUAUGGUCGUGGAAGGGGUUGAUUUUUGUUUCAGAGGAACAACACUUCAGGAAAGUGCUGCAGUUGUGUGGUCAGUAUGUUUAGUUCUUCCCACGGAGAACUGUGCGUUCUCCCUCUCCUCUCUAUGCAAGUCUGUUAUCCGUACGCUGCUGUCUAGUCGUGAGUCUUGCUGUGUGGAUGUGUUUGUUUGCUCAUUCAGCUUUUUCACCAUGACUUUAUUUAACUGAAAAACUUGUAUGUCUUUUUUUUAGGGGGGAGGGAUGCAUUUUCUUGUGACCCCAUGUCAAAGGGCCGAAACCUUAGGACAUGAUAUAGCUUUAAGCCACCAUUACUUUGAAACUAAAUGGAGUUGGACUCUAGAUGGCUCCUCCAUUCUCUUUUCCCCCUCGUUUUACUGCAUCGAAUAGUUCUUUUUUUAUAGACAUCAUACAGGUUAAAGACUUUCUAAUUUAGCCUAGGAAACCUUGUUGGUAGCAAGACCAAGGAGAUGCGCUUUCCUCGUGUUUUGUGUUGUGGGCACCGAGCACUCCGCCCUGUCCCAGUGUGUUGGCCCACCAGCCAAUGGGAACAGCACACUUGGAGCUCAAGUAGUGGGACAGUCGUGUGUGGUGCCGAGGUCUAGGUAGCAGAAACCACGGAGGAAAGGCUCAUCUCUUGGUAGUGUACACUGAAAAAUACAUGUCUCGUGGCAGUGGAUUCUGUGAAACGUUUGAUGUAGAUAUGUACAUGAUAGCUUCAGAAAGCUAAAAGGAUCAAUUUUUGGUUUUCUUCGGUACUGGCGUAACUUCUUUCCUAAUAUUAUGUCUGUAACCUUUUGUUGACAGAGCUUUUUGUGUUGAGGGAGAUUAUUGGAAGAAAAAUUCUGUUCUAAAAGGUUUGAUGUUUGUGUGUGGUUGUGGUAGAAGAUGGAGAGGAAGACCACCUUUGUUGUAAAGACUUGUUAUUUAGUUUCAUCCUUUGUUCUGCUGAAAUGAUGUACAAUUUUACUGUAGACAGAACUCCCAAAAGCCACUUCUUAUUUUCUGUGGUGAACUGUUGAAUGUAAACCUCCCCUGCUUGAAACUCUAUUUUGAGUAUCCAGAGCCAUGUGUUAAAUGAUAACACUCGCUUCGGUGUCACAUAAAGAAGACACUGAUUUCAUUUCUCGUGUGAGAUGAAUUUUCAUCUAGUAUCCCAGUCUUUCUGCUGGGAUGUUGUAUCCCUCUCAGCUUUGGUGAGCCCUGGUUUACAGGGUCAAAGCCUGUCUCUUCCUAAAUGAUCUAAAAUGUUUUUGGAGGUGUAUAAACACCUUCAUUAACAAACAAACAAAAAAACCAACAUUAAAUUAAAAAACAACCAAAAACAAAAUCGUCUCCCAACCUCAGAUUUCCUCAGUGUAAGUGCCGUACUACAUAAAAUAUUGUGAUAAUACUGGAAUUGUUAUCACAUGUGAGAAACUGGUUGAUGCGAUUGCCCUAUCUGUCUUUCACUGCAUGUGUUGAGCUUGGUGUGUGCGUGUGUGUGGUGCGGGUGGAAAGUGCAACGGAUUGGGGUGAGCAUGUUGUUUUCUGAUCAGCGUUUUUUUAGUGUGAGUGGGGUUUUUUGGUUUUGUUUGUUAGUUUGUUGCCUGUUGCAGUUCCGAUGGAGGUGAUUUGUUGAGAAGGGCUUGGAGAGAGAGAAAUCCAAGAAGGUUGUUUUUUGUCAGAUGCCUAGCUUCAGUUGUUUGUAGAUCACCCUUCUGUUAGGUCAGGUUGUUAAUGUGUGUUCUGGUGUGAUAUGUGAUUCUACUGGGGUUUUUUCUACAACAUACUGGACUCAGUCAUCUCUUGUACAGUUGUUUUAAACUCGUGCAGUCCCCAAAAUGUUAAUGAGAAGAAGCUGAAGUAGACCAAACUUUGGAACCCAUUCUUCAGUUGAGCAAGACCCACAGAGCUUAAUUAAUAUAUAUGAAAAGUAGCCCAGCCCCACGUCAGUAGAAGCUGUUUGGGCCAACGAAGGAACUAAGCAGGACGGCCCAGUAUAAGGUGAUAGACACCAGUCUGUAAGUGUGAUGUGUUGCUGAAGUCAUGGUGUUACUUAGCAAAGAUUUUGGGUUUUUUGUGUGCCUAGAAAAUACUCUUUUGCUUGGUGAGUGGUAUGUGUGGGGCGAGAUGCAUGGUCUUCUAGUUGUAAAUGUGUGUUAAUAGUCGGUAUUUAAGCCACAAUAGUCUUUUUACAUUCACGUCAUUGUUGUGUCAAAGAUAAAUGUUUGUUUUGAGGUAUUACCUCCUGCUAAAGAGUUGAUUAUUAUAAUGGACAGAAUUAUUUCACCCAUGCCAUGUAUACCAUACUUUAUUAUCCACUUAUACCGAUUGGCAUUGUAGAGGGGAGGGGAUCAGCACUAGGGACAAAUUCUGUCCUUGAUAGACAGUUGUUGUAUUGUUGAAACCAGUUCUUGUAAAGUAAAAGAUACAGAAGUUGUAUCGUAGUGAUAAGUUUUUAGAAUUCAAAGAAAUUGUCUUCGAUUUUUUAAAAGUUUUAAGAUCUCCCCACCUACCUCCCUUUUUUUUGUAUGUUUGUGUUUGCACUAGUUUUUUCCUUUGCAAGAUUCUGUAAGUAAUGUGUCAAUAGUGUCGCUGUGUAUUAUGUUUGUGUGUGAGUGAGAUGCAAGAUUCUGUAAGUAAUGCGUCAUAGUAUCGCUGUGUGUUGUGUUUGUGUGUCUGAGUUUGAGAUGAUGGCAUUUAUGCGAUGUCAGAGAUUUCAAUUGUUGAAAGUUUUGUACAGCGGGCGUAUUUGAUUCACAGGGAGGUUGAGACUUUGGUGGCAGUGAUUGCCUUCACAGCCAUCUCAGGUCUUUGCCUUGGUACUGGUAAUUUCUCGUCUGUAGCCGACCUGG
rnacentral:misc_RNA from 1 species